CACUGGAGUGGACUUAACCCGCAGCUGGGGUCAGCAGGGAUGAGCCCCUCUCCUUGCUGCAGGGCUGCUGCCUUGCAUGGGAGGAGAAGGGGCUGCAGGGGGUGGUGGCACAGCUUGUCCUGCUCUAUGGAUCAUUGCCAUGCUGAAGGUGCUGCUGGAUCCUUGCCCUUCUUCCUGUGCCUCUUUGCAGGCCACUUCCCUUUGCCUAUCCUCCAAAUAGAGGGAGAUUUCCCUUGAUUCCUGGGGUGCUGUGCCUGCAGGCUGGCUCCUGGAGCAGCCAUGGUCACCCCGUGGAUGUGGCAGCUCUGAAAUCCAGGACCUGGAGAGCAGAGCUCCUGAAGGAUGCUGUGUUUGAGUCUGGGCUGCUGAACUGUUUGGACAGGUUUCUCUGCAAAGCUGCUUCACUUCUUGGGCCCCCUAGUUUCUGUACUGGCACAAAAUUACAGCAUUCUCCAGCAAAAGGAUCCCUGCAGCUGAGUUUCCUUGUUUUGCAGCCCUUGCUGUGUGCCCAGGACUGCUCUGCUGCUCUCACCCUGCACACCCAAUAGCACUCAGGUGCUGACGGACGCUGCCCAGUCUCUGGCAGCUCCAUGCAGGCUUUUGAGGUUGCUGAGCUGAGAUGCCUGUAGGAGCCCAGCGUGGGGCUGGGCACAAACCUGUACGUGGCUGCUUCUCACGAGGAGCAGUUUCCCUUGGUGUGCCCCAAGCGUGCCAUUGGCCUGAGCAAGCUGCUGUUGACUCGCCAUGGGAAGGUACAACUUCAACCUUUUGCACAUGAGAUAAAGCAUGGGGACAUUCCAGGUGAGAGCACUGGAGUCCAUCUCUGCCCAGGUGUGCUCGGAAGCCAGGAACACGCUUUGGGAGGGCGGGACAUGAGGAUGCAUCAAUCCUACACCUGGGUUUCGUUGUCACUGCUGUUUUGUCACAUGCCAACACGCCCUGUCUCUUUCUCGUCACUCUUUUCUUCCCUCUUUCACCACAACGAUGUCUUAUCUCCACUAAAUCUUCUUAUUUUAUUACACCAGGGUGGAUUUUGUUUGCAGCCUAAGCAGCUGUCCACAGCCCACAGGGAUUGCAGAGACCUUUGUAAAGCCAUGGGGUGCAGGGGUGGCACUCCUCUAGGCCAACCUCUGCAUUUCCAGGUGCCUGCUAGGAGCUAGGACUGCCUCCUGUGGAGAAAAUCAAGACAUGUCUGGAAAGAUGUGACAGCAUGUCUACAGAGGUGUAAAAACAAAUAUAUUCCAGGCAUCCGAGUUAGAAAAUAAUGAAGAAGGUGUGUGGUUUUGACUGUAGUGGAGCUGGGAGCAUCCCUGAGCGCUGCAGGGUGCAGAGCAACACUGCUGGGACAGCUGGGUCACAGCCCUUCCUGCUGGUUUGAUGAGGGCUGACCACAGGUCUGCAUGAGGUCAUCUCUGCUCCAGCUUUGAGGCGAUUCUCACUGCCCCUUGUCUGUUCCAUGCAGUUGCAGCAGAGGCACAACCCCAGGGCUGCUCCAGCACACCCCACCCAGCCAUGAGUCAUGGGAUCCGGGCACUGCAGCUGGGCACGGCCUCAUUUCCCACACCUGAUCUCCAUUUCCUUCCCUGAUCUGUUAUCUCCACAUCUGUAUUCAACAAGCAAAGCCACUGGAGGAGCAGGCACAGGGCUGAGCCUGUGUCUGGGGCAGGUGGGUACCCGGAAGCCCAUUGAGCAGCACUGCUGCCUGUGACAAAAGCCACGUGCAGCGUCCUUGUGCCAAGCAGCCCAGCAGCCAACGCAGAUUUUGCUGCUCCAACCCUGCAGGGUUCUGCUGUGCAGGCCCUUCCUGCAGCCUGAGCUCAGGGCUCUGUGCUGACCAUGGUUACUGCAUCUGCAGGUGCAGGAGUUGUUACACAUCCAGCUCUUUAUCAAAAUUAAUAAUAAAACAUCAAACCUCGUGUCAUCCAUUUUGGAUACAAAAUAUUUAUUUGAAGGAGGAAGAAACAUUUUCAUACUUGGAGUGUGCUUGUGUCCUGCUCCUACCAGCUGUGAGUGAAGUAAUAUUGUUCUGCCAGCAGGGACAUUUGAAUUGUAUCUGCCUUUGCUUCCCUGUGCUGCAGUGCAUUACUGAUCAUUGAGCAGCCUGCCAUCUCUAUCCAGCAGCUGAGUUCUUGAUUUAGAGCACACACCCAACAAACAUGCUUUUCAAGUUGUUGCAGUGAUUCACCAGAGCCAAGUGACUCGGCAGAGUAUUCUUUGUAUUUUGGACUAAAUUUAUCAAAGCCUUGGUUCUUCAUCCACCUCGUUAGGCCCUGGUUGGAGGAAUCUCCUUGUCUUGAGAAGCUUGCCUCCGAAACAAUUUUAAGUUACAAAUAUGAGGCUGUAUGUCAUGUUGUCUCAACCUUCCAGCACAAAAACCCAAAAUCUGAUUUUUAUAACACUUACCUUAAUUACUGCCAACACUUCUUUCUUGUUUUUUUUUUUUUUUUUUUUUUUUUUUUCUUUUUUAUUCUACCAGUGAUUAAGCAAGUUACAGAUUUUUGCCCGGGUUCCUUCCAACGGAACAUUCUGCUGCAGUGCUCGAGUCCUGCAAGUGCUCCUGUAGUGCCUGUCACUGAGAUGCAUUAAUGGCAGUGCCAUUCAGGCUGCAAGGCCAUGGAUUUACUUCCCUUCAAACCCCUGCAGGAAUGUUUGCCUGUUUCUUUUGUUACAUGUUCAGCAAUGCUUUGCACUUUCAGGAAACAAUACAGCAGUGCCUAGGUGUACAGUGUGCUUUAUAGGUGGCUCUGUGACAUGGCAUUGUCCCGGCCCGCAAGGCUCUUCCCUGCGUGUAUUUUGAAUUAGACCUACUGAAUUUUUGCUUUGAUGUUUCAAAUCUGCUGGCUUGUUUGGUCCCUGGAGUGAACAAAGAGAGCGAGCAGAUUGGGAUCUGCAUAGCAACCAGGGAACAACUUCAUCUGCAAGUCCUUAAUUGUAGGCAGUGGUGUGAAGGUGGAAAGAAUCCAGCCCAGCUCUCAGUCCCCAGGACUGGGUCCCAUGGGGAUGGAGAGUGUUGGGGUGAGGAUGGGGGUCAGUGUGAAGCUGUGAGGGUCCUGGGGCAAGCACACAACCGUGGAUGUGCUGAGCAAGUUUUGGCUGCAGCCGUGUAAAUGUGGCAGAUCCUGGGGCACAUUAGUCCCAUUUCCUCCACAGGGUGCUGGGCAGCACGGGGGAGAUGGGGUUUGUGGACAGGGAGAUCUGCUGGGCUCCGAUUGCGUUCAAAUUGUUGUGUUCCCAGGCAACAAACAGGAGCCAAGGAAAUGGCCACAAGUUGUAUCAGAGGAGGUUUAGGUGAGA